rnacentral:lncRNA from 1 species
UUUUUUUUUUUUUGUAAAUAAUUUAACUUUUGAGAUCCACAUUUUAUUUUGUUCAUACUGUGCGGAGUAAGAGUUUCUCAUUCUCUUUGGUGUUAGGUUAACCGUUGUCACAGCAAGCAAUAUAAAAACACAAAAUCAUGAGAGACCUCUCUUAAGUUGCAUUUUGGCAUGGGAGAGGGGAAGGAAGACCAGAACUUAUAUUUGGAAGAAAAUGGCAUGAUAGCAAAUUUAUAUAUGGAAUGAUUCUGCAUUGUUUGAUAGAAUUGAAACUUUUACUAAUUCAAUAAUUAGUAAUAGUGUAAUGGUAGAGUGUUUUGCAUCUAUUAGCUCUCCAGCAGAUAGAUAAUAAAGCACGACAGAUGGAGAGCCAGGAUCUGUGAAAAAUGCCUGGAGUAAUUUGUAGUAAUAUUGAGGCUUUAAAUUGAUAGUGAUACUCAUUAUGAGCCAUAACAACUUUCUUUCUUUGAAAAUUCACUCUAUGAAUUUUAGUUUUUUAGAAAGAGCAAGUAAAAUUACUCUUUUAGGUUUUGACUAUAAACAGUUAAUUUAUUUGAUUAAAAAUUAAAAAGCUCAAGUACUGCAGCCCUGUUUGAACCCAGCCACUUUUAUCACCAUCCAGGAGGCAGUCCCCAGAGGUGGAGCAAAGCUUUGAGAAUUUGAAAGCAUUCUUUGUGCUAUCUCAGAAACACAGACAUUGCAAGAGAUGGAAAUAUCCCUUUCUACUCAUCCUCAAGGUUAUUUAUAUUUCUACAUUAGUGUGUUAUUCACUAACGUUAUAAUUAUCAUCCUUUGGCUUAAUAAAAAUGCAACCUUGUUUUCAGCAAAAUCCUAUCAUUUCUCUCCAUUCUUCACAAUCGGGCAGACUGUUCAUUUGAUCAGGUCCCUGGGUGUUAAGAAGAUCUAAGUUUAACAAAAUGAAAGUAAAUCUCAGAAUUACCUCUUAAGCGUGCAGAGUCGGUCCUUUUUUUCUCAUCAUAGAUAUUCAAAAUUAUGAAAAAGGUAAGUAAAAGAAAAAUGUUUAAGUGAAUGCUUAUUUUUUUUGAAGGGUAAAGGAGUUGUUUUUGUAAAGUGGCAGUAAUGAGAGGAAAGGUUGACUUUACCAGAGAAUAUGUGGGCAACUGUCCUAUUCUUCUAAUCCCUGUGAGAAAGAGAUCAAGUUCCUGCCUUUAUUUCAGAGUUAGAAGAGGGAAAUGGUUAGUGCUGAAUUUCACCAUGAGCCAUUGUCCCUCUUCUGUGAUGGUUUGAAAUCUCCUUUGUCUUGCUAGAUGCAUGUAUACAAUUGUGCAUUUUGUUUUUUGUUAUUUUAUUGCACUCUUCAAAGUUAUUUAUCCACAUAAUUAAUUCAAAAGUAAGAAAAAUAAUGGGUGUAGCAAAAGUCAUUAUCAAAAGCAAGUGCUCAAGUAUACUAUCAAUUGACCAGUGAACAUCCUUUGCUACUGAUGCAAGUUAACAGGUACUUCGUCUGACCCUCAAAGACCCCAAAGCAAUGCCACCAACUUGCAGAUAAGAAGUAGAAGUUACUAUCGCUUUCAGGAAUUUAUAGUCUUGUAUAGCAUGGAUAGUCUGUUAGUGGGACCACCGCUUUAACACAGGGUUGUUUCUUGUCUCACAGCUGAGGGUGUUUGCUCUGUUUCUUUAUUUGGUGAUUGAUACAACCUUGAAGAAAUGCAAUGGCUUGACUGUCCUUCAUUAUGACCAAAUUCUGCAACAGUUGAGAUAGUCUUUCCACCUUUACACUCUGUGUAAUUCUGAUUCCCUGCCUCAAACAUGGCUCCCCUCCUUGAUCUUUAGAUUCACAUUUCCCAACUGGAUUCUGUCACUAUAGUCUCUUCCCUUUGGGGCCCUUACCCCUUGGAAGCUUUAGAAAGCCUAAAAACAAUACAAAACAGAACAACAACAACAACAAUAAAAACAAGCCUCACUUACCACUAUCUCUUCUUAGCAACCAGUUUUCUUUUUAAACUAAUCAUUUAUAAAUGCAUUAUAAAUGCAAUAGAAUAGUUACAUUUUUCUUCAAUAUAGCCGUAGUUUCAAAUUCCUUCAGUCUUUUUAAUAGUUUAAUACUUGCACAUAUGAUCCCUUUAUUAUUGAUUGUUUCCACAUUUCAGCAUUGUACAUACUCUACAAUAAAAUUUUCAUACAUUUGUCUUUUUUAUUAUGCUGAAUAAUUUAUUUCAAAUUUUUAAUUGUACAUCAAGGUUUGUGGGAAUUUUUAUAAUUUUGGUAGGCAUUGUAAUCCUUUCCCUUGUAUUUAAUAAUGCAUAAAUAUCAUUAAAAAUAAAAUAGUACAUAGUUUAUUGCGGAAAACAAUAUUGCCAUAUUCAGUCUUAUUUUCUAGAUGUAUUAAUUUGUAAACAUUGUGCUUUAAAAUAUAAGCAGUUCCUCUGUUUUUAACUAAAUAUAUUUAUACAGUGAACUUUCAAUUUGCUAUUUACUAUUUUAUAUAAUCAAGUACUUCUGUCAAAGGUGAAGAUUUUUCUUAGUGAUACAGUCCUCACCUAUCCUUUCAAUAUUAAGUAAUUCCUCUAAUUUUGUUAGAGUUUUAAAUAAAAAUUAUGUGAAAAUCAAUACAUUAUUCUUCCCCCUUUAAAUUAUAUUUCAUGGGCUCCUACUACAUAGAAUAAACAUAUUAACCACCCUCCUCCUAUUUUUUUUCUUUCUUUCUUUCUCCCUCUCUCUCUAAUUCUUUCAAACUUAACUAUAAAAAUUUUACAUUACUAAGUUGGCAAUAUUUUAAUUUUAGCUUAGUAAUAUUAAUUGUAACAUCAGCUAUAUCCAAGCUUUGUCCAGAAGCUUACUCUACUCAUUGAAAAAUAAUUAACAAAUAUUCGCUAAAAUUUAUAUGUGUAUAUUUUCACUGUAAAAUCACGUAAUGUACUAGGAUUACACUUUCCCUACGGAUUAGUGUGAUUACACUUUCUCUACGGAUCAGUGUAACUUUUCUUACAUACAAUCUCUUUUGAAAAGCAUGAUGUAGUACAUUUAGAGAUAUGUAUACACACACACACACAUUUUUUUUUUCUUUGUAGGUUGUCUGAUUAGUUCAUCAAAUUCUGUAGUUCUUUGCGUAUACCUCUGUUGCUAAGAGAAAAAUCACACUAUUGUCUUAACAACUUCCACUUUUACUUCUUACUAUGUAAUGAUGUAGUUCAUCCCACUUUAAAGAAUUACAUCUGCUAUUUCUUCUCUGAAGAUGAUACAGAAACAUCAUUUGAAAUUUAAGGAUAAACAUGAAAGCCAGUUAGUCUUUUGGGAAAAUAUAAGAGCUUCUAAUUCCCUAUUGCUGAAGGAUAGUAAAAGAUAAGAAUUAGGGCCAGACUUUAUUAUAAGGCCGACAGGACUAAGAAUGUCAAAUUUUCAACCCUUCCAAAUCUGCUACUCCAGGAUCAAAGCCAUGGUUUGGAAAGAAUGAAGCACAGAGAUUUGAGAAACAGGCACUCUUGAGUCCUGCACAGAAAAAUCUUGAUUUUCCAGAAUUCUCUGAAUUACUUGGGCCCUAACUAGUAUAUCAUGCCUCCUUUUGAAAGUCUAGUACUCUUUUAUUGAAAAUGAUUCAAAGAACUUCCAAAAUGACAUUGCCUCUACUCACUAUCUAUGUUAACCUUCUGUUCUUCUCAUCAGAUGCAAAACUAGGGCUAGUCACAAAAUAUCCUAGCAGGAAAAAUGUUAUACACAUUAAUAGAAGAGAACUCUACCCAUAAUGUGCUAGGAGAGAAUUAUGAAUUAGAUCUUGAAGUGCUGGAUCAAGAGAGGUAAAACAAUGUCUGCUAACAAAGAGUUUACCUGUAUGUGAACUUACUCCCCAAAUACAGGAUUUAACACCCUGACGAGGAACUGCCGUCAGGAUGGCUCUGAAAACCUUGGAUAAUGUGGUGGGACGUACUAGGGAAGUAGAAAUUACAGAGUGAUUAUGAAAGAUGAUAGAAAGAAGAACUAAAAGGAUCCAAAAUUUGGACAUGUUAGAGUAUGGAAAACUACCUGCCCACUGUUUUGUGGAAGGCCUUGAAACACACUGCUUAUCAAAGUGAUAAAAAUUGUGAUGGGUAAAACCACAUCAGCAUCAAAGAAGCCUAGAAUCAUUUACUUGGGUAACCAUUUACUGGGCAGAGGUGAAUAUCAUGAUAUUUCCAGGACAGUUAGAUUCAAAUUAUGGUCAUGAUCACUAUAGGAGUAGGAUCAGGUAAUAAAUAAAUUCCUAGACCUCUAGAUUAAGUAUUUUCCUUUCCCACUUUCUGAAAAUGCAUAUUCUUGGUAGUUAACAGGGUUUUCUAGCCCCUAACCCCUACUAGUGUAAUACACACACACACACACACACUGUUGGCAGUCUUGAGGCUUAAGGCAGUAUGGAGGCAGAAUUACUUCUUCUGAGAACCUCUGUCUUUUCUCUUAAGAUUGUUGACGGAUUGGAUGAGGCCCACCUACGUUAUGAGUGGUAACCUGCUUUUCUCAAAGUUUAUUGAUUCAAAUAUUAAUCACAUCUGAAAAUAUACUUUCACAGCAACAUCUAGAUUGGCGUUUCACCACACAACUGGGCACCACAUCAUAGCUAAGUUGACAUAGUAUGAAAUUAACAUCACAUCAAAUAAAGAUCAGAGGUGGAAUGUUUUGGAAGUUAUACUUCCAUGGACGAAUCAUAGUAUGUAAAUCUGACUUUAUCACCAAUAAUGAUUACAAUAUUACUAAUAUUUUUGAGUAUAGUCAUUUUGUAUAGCUUAUAUUUUAUCUUCACAUGCACUCCAUGAAGUUAGUAUCAUUAUGCUCAAUCUCAAGAAAAGAAAUUUGAACUGUAGAGAAUGUAGCAGACUUACUAACGUUAACUCAUCUGGUACAUGGAGCUGGACUUUAAGCCUGUACUGUUCAAUGCAGUAAGCACUAGCCAUGCACAGAUGUUGAGCACAAAAAAUGUAGUCAAAAUAGUAAAAAGAAACAGUAUUAAUUUUAAUAACACAUUCUAUUUGCCCUAAGAAAUUCAGAAUAUUAUUUUACCACAUAAAAUAACUAAUGAGAUAUUUCAUUUUUUACCUAUCUUCAAAAUGCAGAGUAUACUUAGCAUGAAGAAAAAAUAGUGAAAUAUCUCAUUAAUCAUUUUGUAUUGAUUAUUUUUUUUUCUGUUCCUUUUUAAACUUAGCUACUGGGAAAUUAUUUAUGUGGCUUUCAGUAUUUUUCUAGGGAAUAGCACUAAGCUGUUCAGAGCUGUUCAGUGCAGACUCUGAGCACUUAAGUUUCCUAAGAGGUAUUUCCUUCUCACACCGAUGUCUUUUUAUUUGUAAAGUGUGGUUCAUUAUCAUUUUAAUGCAGUGAGCAUGUAAAACUUAACCAGAUUAGUUUAUCAUCUAAUAUAGGCCAAGACUAUUAUUUUUGCACCACAGAAGGGAGUAAAGGUGUUCUUUGCUCUGCUCCAGAUGUAAACAGAAAUGGAGACACUUAGUUUUGUUUUUUGUUUUUUGUUUUGGCUUUUUGUCUUUUCUAGAGCUGCUCCCACAGCUUAUGGAGGUACCCAGACUAGGGGUCUAAACCGAUCUGUAGCCACAGGCCUACUCCAGAGCCACAGCAACACGAGAUCUGAGCUGCGUCUGCGACCUACACCACAGCUCACACAGCAACACCAGAUUCUUAAACCACUGAGCGAGGCCAGGGAUCGAACCCCGCACCCUUGUGGUUCUUAGUCAGAUUCGUUAACCACUGAGCCAUGACGGGAAC